UACGAAGGGGGCUAGCGUUGCUCGGAAUCACUGGGCGUAAAGCGCACGUAGGCGGAUCGUUAAGUCGGGGGUGAAAUCCUGGAGCUCAACUCCAGAACUGCCUUUGAUACUGGCGAUCUUGAGUCCGGGAGAGGUGAGUGGAACUCCGAGUGUAGAGGUGAAAUUCGUAGAUAUUCGGAAGAACACCAGUGGCGAAGGCGGCUCACUGGCCCGGUACUGACGCUGAGGUGCGAAAGCGUGGGGAGCAAACAGGG
rnacentral:rRNA from 1 species